GUCGGGGAUCAGAUUCUCAAUGAAUUGACGGGGGGGCACAAGCGGAGGAACAUGUGGUUUAAUUCGAUGAUACGCGAGGAACCUUACCCGGGCUCGAACGGUGCAUGAAUAGAUCAGAGAUGGUUUAGACCUUCGGGACAUGUAUCGAGGUGCUGCAUGGUUGUCGUCAGCUCGUGCCGUGAGGUGUCGGCUUAAGUGCCAUAACGAGCGCAACCCUUGUCGUUAGUUGCCAUCAAGUAAAGUUGGGGACUCUAGCGAGACUGCCACCGUAAGGUGCGAGGAAGGGGGGGAUGACGUCGAAUCAGCACGGCCCUUACGUCCGGGGCGACACACGUGUUACAAUGGCAGGUACAGAGGGCAGCUACCCAGUGAUGGGGUGCGAAUCUCGAAAGCCUGUCUCAGUUCGGAUCGGAGUCUGCAACUCGACUCCGUGAAGUUGGAUUCGCUAGUAAUCGCGCAUCAGCCAUGGCGCGGUGAAUACGUUCCCGCGCUUGCACACACCGCCCGAAUCU
rnacentral:rRNA from 1 species